GCCUCUAGCAACAAUAAGUAUUAGAGGUAAUGCCUGCCCAGUGACACUGUUAAACGGCCGCGGUAUCCUAACCGUGCAAAGGUAGCGUAAUCACUUGUCUUUUAAAUAAAGACUAGAAUGAAUGGCCAAACGAGGUUCCACCUGUCUCUUACAAACAAUCAGUGAAAUUGGUCUUCCCGUGCAAAAGCGGGAAUAACACUAUAAGACGAGAAGACCCUGUGGAACUUCAAAUAUAAAUCAACUAUUAUAUUUACCACCCUAAAGACUUAUAAUUAACUAGUUCUGAUCCAUAUUUUUGGUUGGGGUGACCUCGGAGUAAAACAAAACCUCCGAAAAAAGAACAUAUUUUCUUAACCUAGAUUUACAACUCAAAGCGCCAACGGCAAAAUGAUCCAAUAUAUUUGAUCAACGAACCAAGCUACCCCAGGGAUAACAGCGCAAUCCCAUCCUAGAGUUCCUAUCGACGAUGGGGUUUACGACCUCGAUGUUGGAUCAGGACAUCCUGAUGGUGCAACCGCUAUCAAGGGUUCGUUUGUUCAACGAUUAAUAGUCCUACGUGAU
rnacentral:rRNA from 1 species